rfam:Larimichthys crocea isolate SSNF unplaced genomic scaffold scaffold14, whole genome shotgun sequence.
CUAAAGGCUCUUUUCAGAGCCACACACACCAUCCACAGAGCUCAC